AGAGUUUGAUCCUGGCUCAGAUUGAACGCUGGCGGUAUGCUUAACACAUGCAAGUCGAACGGAAACAGGACGCUGUGAUCUCUUCGGAGUGAACUUGUCGCUGUCGAGUGGCGGACGGGUGAGUAAUACUUAGGAAUCUACCCAGUAGUGGGGGACAACACGGGGAAACUCGUGCUAAUACCGCAUACGCCCUAAGGGGGAAAGCGGGGGAUCUUCGGACCUCGCGCUAUUGGAUGAGCCUAAGUCGGAUUAGCUUGUUGGUAGGGUAAUGGCCUACCAAGGCGACGAUCCGUAGCUGGUCUGAGAGGACGAUCAGCCACACUGGGACUGAGACACGGCCCAGACUCCUACGGGAGGCAGCAGUGGGGAAUAUUGGACAAUGGGGGAAACCCUGAUCCAGCAAUACCGCGUGUGUGAAGAAGGCCUGCGGGUUGUAAAGCACUUUCAGUAGAGAAGAAAAGCCUGGGGCUAAUAUCUCCGGGUCUUGACGUAACCUACAGAAGAAGCACCGGCUAACUCCGUGCCAGCAGCCGCGGUAAUACGGGGGGUGCAAGCGUUAAUCGGAAUUACUGGGCGUAAAGCGCGCGUAGGCGGUCUGGUCAGUCGGAUGUGAAAGCCCUGGGCUCAACCUGGGAAUGGCAUUCGAUACUGCCAGACUAGAAUAUGGGAGAGGCAAGUGGAAUUUCCGGUGUAGCGGUGAAAUGCGUAGAUAUCGGAAGGAACACCAGUGGCGAAGGCGGCUUGCUGGCCCAAUAUUGACGCUGAGGUGCGAAAGCGUGGGGAGCGAACAGGAUUAGAUACCCUGGUAGUCCACGCCGUAAACGAUGAGAACUAGAUGUCGGGAGGGUUUAGCCUCUCGGUGUCGCAGCUAACGCGUUAAGUUCUCCGCCUGGGGAGUACGGUGGCAACACUAAAACUCAAAGGAAUUGACGG
rnacentral:rRNA from 1 species